CCUACGGGGGGCAGCAGUGGGGGAUAUUGCACAAUGGGGGAAACCCUGAUGCAGCGACGCCGCGUGUGGGAAGACGGUCCUCUGGAUUGUAAACCAUUGUCCCCAGGGACGAAGAUGGCGGUACCUGGGGAGGAAGCUCCGGCUAACUACGUGCCAGCAGCCGCGGUAAUACGUAGGGAGCGAGCGUUGUCCGGAAUUACUGGGUGUAAAGGGAGCGUAGGCGGGACUGCAAGUUGGGUGUCAAAUCUACCGGCUCAACCGGUAGCCGCACUCAAAACUGUAGUUCUUGUGUGAAGUAGAGCCAG
rnacentral:rRNA from 1 species